rnacentral:ncRNA from 2 species
AACGAAAGUAUCAACGUGUAUUUCCUAGACCGAGAGGUCCGGGUAAACCGCUGAACCACUUUCAUGCUUGGGAUUGUGAACUGAAACGGUUCACAUGAAC